AACGAACGCUGGCGGCAUGCCUAACACAUGCAAGUCGAACGAGACCUCCGGGUCUAGUGGCGCACGGGUGCGUAACGCGUGGGAACCUGCCCUUAGGUUCGGAAUAACUCCCCGAAAGGGGUGCUAAUACCGGAUAAUGUCUUCGGACCAAAGAUUUAUCGCCUUUGGAUGGGCCCGCGUUGGAUUCGCUAGUUGGUAGGGUAAAAGCCUACCAAGGCGACGAUCCAUAGCUGGUCUGAGAGGAUGAUCAGCCACACUGGGACUGAGACACGGCCCAGACUCCUACGGGAGGCAGCAGUGGGGAAUAUUGGACAAUGGGCGAAAGCCUGAUCCAGCACUGCCGCGUGAGUGAUGAAGGCCUUAGGGUUGUAAAGCUCUUUUACCCGGGAUGAUAAUGACAGUACCGGGAGAAUAAGCUCCGGCUAACUCCGUG
rnacentral:rRNA from 1 species